AUCAACGCUGGCGGGCGUGCCUAACACAUGCAAGUCGAACGAGAAAGAUCCCCGCAAGGGGAUUGAGUACAGUGGCGAACGGGUGAGUAACACGUGGACUAACCUACCUUCCAGUGGGGGAUAACCUCGGGAAACCGGGGCUAAGACCGCCAUAAUCUCGCGAGGGUGAAAUUCCUUGUGAGCAAAAGGGGUAAGACGCUGGUAGAGGGGGGGUUCGCGGUCCGAUUAGCUAGUUGGCGGGGGGUAACGGCCCCACCAAGGCGAUGAUCGGUAGCCGGCCUGAGAGGGCGCACGGCCACACUGGAACUGAAACACGGUCCAGACUCCUACGGGAGGCAAGCAGUGGGGAAUUUUGCACAAUGGGGGAAACCCUGAUGCAGCAAACGCCGCGUGGAGGAUGAAGUCCCUUGGGACGUAAACUCCUUUCGACCGGGACGAUUUAUGACGGUAACCGGUGGAAGAAGCCCCGGCUAACUCCGUGCCAGCAGCCGCGGUAAUAACAGGGGGGGCAAAGCGUUGUUUCGGAAUCAUUGGGCGUAAAGGGCGCGUAGGCGGUGCGGUAAGUCUUCUGUGAAACCUCUGGGCUCAACCCAGAGCCUGCAGGGGAAAACUGCCGUGCUGGAGUAUGGGAGAGGUGCGUGGAAUUCCCGGUGUAGCGGUGAAAUGCGUAGAGAUCGGGAGGAACACCUGCGGCGAAGGCGGCGCCACCGGACCAUUACUUGACGCUGAGAGCGCGAAAAGCUAGGGGAGCAAACAGGAUUAGAUAACCCUGGUAGUCUAGCCUUAAACGAUGAAUGCUUGGUGUGACGGGUACCCAAUCCCGCCGUGCCGGAGCUAACGCGAUAAGCAUUCUCCGCCUGGGGAGUACGGUCGCAAGGCUGAAACUCAAAAGGAAUUGACGGGGGCCCGCACAAGCGGUGGAGCAUGUGGUUCAAUUCGACGCAACGCGAAAGAAACCACCUUACCUGGGCUUCGAAGCGCAGUGGACCGGGGUGGAAACAUCCCUUUCUCGCAAGAGAACUGCUGCGGAGGUUGCUGCAUGGCUGUCGUCAGCUCGUGGUCGUGAGAUGUUGGGGUUAAGUCCCGCCAACGAGCGCAACCCUCAUCCCUAGUUUGCUAACAACGUUAUUGGUGAGCACUCUAGUGAAACUGCCUCCGAUAAGGGGGAGGAAGGUUGGGGAUGACAGUCAAGUUCCUCAUGCCUUUAUGUCCCAGGGCUACACACGUGCUACAAUGCCCGGUACAAACCGUCGCAAACCCGCGAGGGGGAGCUAAUUCGGAAAAAGCCGGGCUCAGUUUCGGAUUGCAGUCUGCAACUCGACUGCAUGAAGCUUGGAAUCGCUAGUAAUUCGUGGGAAUCAGAAACGCCACGGUGAAUACGUUUCCCGGGGCCUUGUACACACCGCCCCGUCACAUCACGAAAGUGGGCUGUACUAGAAGUCGGUGAGCGAACCGCAAGGACGCAGCCGGCCCAAGGUAUAAACUCAUGAUUGGGGUG
rnacentral:rRNA from 1 species